GAGGGACCGAGGAGGGGAGGAAAUCCAGAAAGAAAUGUAUAUCUUCAACUUCUCGAGGAUGAGUUUCCUCCCCCCGAUGAUCUGCGUUUACUUCUCCCUUUACAGUCCAGUGGUUAGCGACACUCUCUCCGCGGAGACAGGUAAACUGAUACGGUGAGGACCCCUGCUGGAGAACUGCAGUGUGUGAGAAAGAUGGACCAGACUCAACCACCACAGAAAUGGGACUGGGCCCCUCGGUGGUCAGAGAGUAUCAUCGCAGAAAAGCGUUUUUGCAGGAUCCAGCCUUGGUGUCUCUUGGACCUGGGCCGCGCGGACAGGGUAUCUCCGACCGCACAGGAUCCCUUCUUGGCCCGUCUGGACACAUUCCUGGUCCAGG